UGUUAUAAUUUAUAUGUGUAAUAGGAUAUCAUAUUGCGUCGUUUCCCUCUCUUUUUCCACGGUCUUUUUAUCGGCCAGUGGCGUGCGACCAGCACGAUCAUACUACAUACAACGUGUCCGACGUCUUCCGCACAUGGAAACCAGAGUAACCAGUGCAGUGAGUAAAAAGCUGCAGCUGUCACACAGAGCGGGCAGCUGCAGCCACGAUGCAUCGGGGACUAGCGAUGAGAGUAACACGUCUCCAAGCAGUUUUAGUAUUCACGGUGAUUUCCAAUUUUGCAUAAACUCGCCCAAGGUCUGUUAAAUGUCGCCCAAAUGAAAAAAAAGAUGAAGAAGUACUCAUAAUGUCGUCUUUAUAUUCUUCAAAGUGUUUUUUAAAUAAAAUGUUUAAAAAUUGAUUAAUUUAAUAAUCAGAUAUAUCUUAUGAAUAUCUCGAGAGAAUAUUUUUUUUUCUUAAAGAAUUCCAAAGAAUCGGAAUAUUCGAAAUGAAAAAGAAAUAAAAUAGGAUAUGCGAUGUUGAAUCUACGAUCGGAGCAGGUGGUACUUGGAAUUACAGACCCUUCUCCUAUUCGCAUAUAUGUACAAGUAUGCGCUGGAAUUCGGUGUUCUCCCUUUCAUACUAAUUCAUUCACCUUAAGCAGAAUAUUUUAAAAACUCCUACGAUUUUUGGGGAUCUUGAAUCGGAGUUAACUCUGAAAUUUUUUCGUCCCAAAGAAGCUAAAUCUAACUAAAAUAUUCAAAUUAGAAUUCAAAGGAAAGAGGAUAAAAUAGACUUUGAUACGAUUUAUUAUGCAUUCACAUAAUAAAGAAAGGAUGAAAAAUUCAACAUUCCUAAAAUUUCAGAAGCAAUUUAAAUCGAAUCGAAUACCAUUCGUGGAAACAUUUAGAAGGCGCCAUAAAAAGAGACUGGGUAAUCGAUCAAUCUUUGAUCGCUUUGAUCGUCACGGGUAUUUAUCGGUCAGCAGCAGCAUUCCGUGCAUAUGCAACCGCACACCUAAGAUGGAUGCACGGAGAUGAGAGAAAGUCGGAGAUCCUGGCCUCGAGGUUGUCUUCGAGAAUGUAACGAAGCGUUCGUAUGCACGCGCGCGAUUCUGCCACCAGAUAGGCGUGAACGUGCCACGAGGAAAAUGUCAUCGGAUGCACUCUUGCCAUCCCACACUUUAAUAUUAUUCUUAUUAAUUUUUCUUCUUUCUUUCUCCAUUCAUCGAAAUCAUAUCGAUUGUAUAUUCGUAGGAAUACAAAAUUUUACUUUAGAGAAAAACAGCGUUGCGAAGAAAAUAAGGUUUUAAUUAAAAUUAUGCAAAUAUUCUUGAAUCAUCUUUAAAUUUUGUGAUUAAUUAAAACAACUUAUGAUUCAAGAAAAAUUAAUUAAUGUAGA